rnacentral:lncRNA from 1 species
UUCGGUCCAGGCAGCAAGAUUCUAAUAACAACGAGAGAUAGACAAUUGUUGGUGGCACAUGAAGUGGAUGAAGAGCAUAUUCUUGACCUUGAUGUACUAAAUAACGAUGAAGCUCUUCAACUCUUUAGUAUGAAAGCUUUUAAAAGCCAUCAGCCUAUGGGAGAAUAUGUGGAGCUGUCUAAACGUGUUCUGGAGUAUGCUGGUGGUCUUCCAUUAGCUCUAAAAGUUUUGGGAUCCUUUCUAAUUGGUAGAUCUGCAGAUCUAUGGAGAAGUGCCCUAGAAAGACUAAAAAAAGAUCCUUCAAAUAAGAUUAUGAGUAUACUUCAAAUAAGUUUUGAAGGACUACAAGAUUCAGAGAAGAAAAUAUUUCUCGAUGUUGCAUGUUUCUUUAAAGGGAAGAAUAGAGAUUAUGUAACAAAAAUUCUAAAGGGAUGUCGUUUUUCCCCAGUCAUUGGAAUAGAAGUUCUUAUUGAAAAGUCUCUUCAUACUAACUUUGAUUUAACAAUACCAAUCUUUUCUUGUUGUUUUCAAUAUGCAGGAAUGAGUCAGAAUUUAUUGAGGAAAUUGUCAAUGUCAUAUCUAGUAAACUGCGUUCAGAACUAGAGAUUCUUAAGGAGCUAGUAGGAAUGGAAUCACGCUUGGAGAAACUGAGGUUUCUUAUGGGUACGGGGUCUAAUGAUGUUCGUAUGAUCGGGAUAUGGGGUAUGGGAGGUCUAGGAAAGACAACUCUUGCAAGGGUUGUUUAUGACUUGAUGUCUCAUGAGUUUGAUGGGAGUAGUUUUCUUGCCGAUGUUAGAGAAAAAUUUGAAAAAGAAGGCAGUGAAAUCUCUUUACAAAAGCAGCUCCUUUCUGAUUUACUCAAGCUUUCAGAUUAUAGCAUACAAAAUGUCUACGAUGGUAUUAACAUAAUUGGAAGUAGGCUGCAACGGAAAAAAGUUCUUCUCAUAAUUGAUGAUGUGGCUGAUGUUGAACAAUUACAAAGGUUAGUUGGAAGGCGUGAUUGGUUCGGUCCAGGCAGCAAGAUUCUAAUAACAACGAGAGAUAGACAAUUGUUGGUGGCACAUGAAGUGGAUGAAGAGCAUAUUCUUGACCUUGAUGUACUAAAUAACGAUGAAGCUCUUCAACUCUUUAGUAUGAAAGCUUUUAAAAGCCAUCAGCCUAUGGGAGAAUAUGUGGAGCUGUCUAAACGUGUUCUGGAGUAUGCUGGUGGUCUUCCAUUAGCUCUAAAAGUUUUGGGAUCCUUUCUAAUUGGUAGAUCUGCAGAUCUAUGGAGAAGUGCCCUAGAAAGACUAAAAAAAGAUCCUUCAAAUAAGAUUAUGAGUAUACUUCAAAUAAGUUUUGAAGGACUACAAGAUUCAGAGAAGAAAAUAUUUCUCGAUGUUGCAUGUUUCUUUAAAUGGAAGAAUAGAGAUUAUGUAACAAAAAUUCUAGAGGGAUGUGGUUUUUCCCCAGUCAUUGGAAUAGAAGUUCUUAUCGAAAAGUCUCUAUUAACUGUUGAUGACGACAACACACUGGGGAUGCAUGAUUUGUUACAGGAAUUGGGACAACUGAUUGUUACGAGACAAUCCCCCGAAGAACUUGGGAAACGUAGCAGAAUAUGGAGGGAAGAAGAAGUGCGCCAGGUGUUGACAAACAAUACGG